AAAAAUUCAAUUCCUGGAUUUCCGUGUCUAACGUUUGACCGUUUGUCUUAUUUAGAAAAUUAUGAAAAAAUUUAAAAAGAUAAGUCAUACAUAAAGUAUUAUUCGUGCUUUAUCAUCUAACAAUAAUAAAAAUAUUAAUCAUAAAAUAAUUUUAUAUAAAAUGGACGGUUAAACGUUGGGUAUGGAAACCAAACAAUUCAGUUUUU
rfam:Oryza nivara chromosome 8, whole genome shotgun sequence.